AACACCGCACCGCGCGAGGGACGAAAACGGCAUCGAACCCUAGCCCCAAUCCACAGCCCCACGUCCCUCGCUCCUUCCUCCCUCACCCGCCGCCGCUCCCUCCCACCUCCUCCUCCUCCUCCUUCUUCUGCGCCCUCGGAGCCCCGCCGCCGGCUGCUACUCCUCCACCGCCUCGCCUCUUCCUCCUCCCCGCCUUCCCAUCGCUCGCGUGCAGGCCAUCGUGGCCACACGCUUCGUGGGCGAACCCGACCGGCCCGUCGCUGUUGGCUCGAGCUGUUGGGAAGAGGGAGGAGUCCCGAGACAGGGUGAAGGCGCAGGCCGUGCCUGGUGAGGCGGCGCCGCCGGCCAUGGGACGCUGGACCUCGGGGAGCCCCAUCCCAGGCCCGCGCCCAAAUUCUUGAGCAAGGGAGGAUAGAUCGACGAUGGCGCAUCACAUAAGGGAAUGGGAGAUCGAGGAGAAGGGAGACGAGGGUGGGUGGUGGCUUGCAGCAUGGGGCGGUCACGUCCAAUGAGGGUGGUGUUCUGUGGAUCUGGUGCCCCCUCUCCUUUGGCGACCUCCUCCUCAAGCGUUUCAGGUGAAAUGCGGUGAGGAGCAAUGCACACGCAGCCAAUGGAUGGGAUGGUGCUGCUACUGGGCAGUCUAGGACAUCCAGUGGUUGGAGUGGGGGCUCUGUUCUGUGAGCUGACCGCUCCGUCACGAACAAGCAACCAUCUGCGGCCUUGCAAGGGUCGACACCGCCAUUGCCGCCUCAUCUGUCCUUUCCAGAUGCCAUGGUCUCCUCUCCUCUACAGAGACCUCCUCAUCUGCUGCCGAUGGCUGUGAGUUCACGGCUGCUCCGGAGCUCCAACGAGCCAAGCUGUGUGCAAAUCCGACAAAGAAGAGAAAAGGAAGAAUAUUGAGGAAGAGUUUUGGUGAAGAAGAACAAGUGGAAGGAUCGGUUUUUAUGGCAUGCACUACAAAGGAGAGAAGUGGACCAUGUGAACGUAGUACAACAUUGUUGUUAGUUCGCGCAGUCGAGGUCUGCUCAGGAAGACACAGUUCGACCGAACAGCUGUUGUGUUUUCCCAGUUGUUUGCAAAUCUGACGAAAAGGAGCAAAGAAAGAAUAUUGAGGAAUAUUUAGGUAAAGAAGAACAAGUGCAUUUAUGUUGCUUCCUGCAAGGUCAAUGAUAUGGUGCCAGCUGGAAUUCAUAUUCAAGCUAAUACAGUGACUAAAUUUGGCGAGCGAGUGCCUGAUCAUGAUCUGCGGGAGGGUAACGGUUAUUAUAAUAAUUGAGUGUACCCAAUGGAGGCUGCAUUACAUAAUUAAUGGGAGGGUAAGGGCGUCCAUAGUUUUCAUUGAACUACUGCAGUUUCCAACUGAAUUUUCAUUUGCAGAUUCCGAAGAACGGAGUUCUAGGUUCUAACCAUGUCGCUUCCAUUUGUUGUAUUCUGAGAAUAAAUCUUGUUCUAUAUCCCUGCAUUGUUAUCCACCGGACUCUAAAACAAAAAUCAAUGUUUGCACAUCCAGACAAGGUAAACUUAUGAUGAGUGGACUCCACAAUAUAAAUUGACAUUCUAUGUCAGUGUAAGUGAGUCUAUACUCACCGAGGAACAAUUUGAUCUGAUAACUAUGAAAUGUUCUUUGUUGGUUUUGGUUCUAUAAGAUCAAGAUCUAUAAUUAUAUUCACUUUACAUGUUAACAUGUUGUAAAUAAAUUGUUAUCUAAUAGUCAGCAAUCUGUGGGAGCUUUUCCUCACAGUAGGGUGUGUUGUUGAUGUUUUCUUGAUCUAUCAGUGAACUUGUAUCAUGUGGCUAAUAUGUAUAUACAACGAGACUUUGUUUACGUUCGCCCUUUUUGUUCUGUGCGUGCUUGGUGAAUUGCUUACCCGGUGUGUGGCAGAAAAUAGAAAGUCGAGUUUGAUUUCUGUUGUGGCAUUGCAAUAGAUGACCAACCUUUUAUGUUAUGUGCUUUAGCUUCUUUUCAAAUUUUAGAGUGACAACCGUUUGACAAAGGGUGAAAUUUUUGGUAGGGCCUAGGUGGAAAGUAUUUGAUUAGUUUUUUGAGAGACUGAACUAUAUUUUUAAUUCUGUUUUGUGCUAAUGAACUACUUUUUAAUCACUUUCUUAUGAACGUAUAAAAUAAAUUACAUUGUAAUGUAUCAUGUUGUAUUACAUGAAAAGGUGUUGAAAAGGACGCAAUCCAUCAAAUAUAUGUAGUAUGAUAUAGGAUCCUCGCUUUAUUGUAUCCAUAUGUUGUAAGGAGAUUAUCUUGUCCAUUCAUUAUUCUUAUUAUUUGUCCUUUUCACAUUAAUCGUGAGUAGACUUGGGCCAUUGCAUUUGAUGUUGAUCUUAUUUGCAUAUUAGUCCAAGAACAACAAUUGCUCUUUGUUGUGGCAUUGCUGGAGAAAUACAAAUGUAUAUACCCGUUUCCCACUGUCCAGUCGAGGAGAUCCCUGAGGCAUUUGAUUCUUGUGGGACUCCAACACAUCUUACAGGAUCAUCAACAAGUGGCCGGGCCUCUGCAUUACUCAGAAAAGCUUCCGACAGUUUCCGAUUCAAAAGAAAACAAAUAAGAAAGGAUGCAUUGAUUAUUUUGGGUUGAUCUUGUUUGAAUUUCCAGUGAAAUUCAAACUUGAGACCUUACUCGAAGUAUUUAGUUCCAAUGGAACUAAAUGAAUUUCCCAAAAUGCCUCUUUGGGUAUUAGUUGCAUUUUUAUUUGGAUCCUUGUAUAUUCAAACAGUUUCUGAUUCAAAAGACAACAACAGUGAGAAGAUAAAAUGAUUAAGCAACACCCAAAUAGUGGUCGCAGCAGAUCUCUCUCUCAUUCUCUUUCCAGUUUGGUUGACCAUUCUUUCUGUUCUUAGGUCUUUGAUCUGCUUUCUUCUUCAAUGAAGUAGACCACGAUCUCCUACACAUUCUGCCUUGCUCCCCGGGGCAACCUUCUAUGUUUUAGAUCCACUCUUUUUUUUUGAGAGAUAAUGGGCAGCCUCAUUCAUACAUUUCAGAACUGUUCAGUACAAACUAUAUUCCUGAUAACUUCAGGAGAUACAUUAAACCAGCAUGACCCUUCAUCAUGUUCAGCAGACUUUGCUAGAACAUGUGCUGCCUCAUUACAACUUCGACUAACAUGAGUAAAACAACAGGAUAAGAACCUUGGAGCCCUACUCUUAAUAUCAAAAACUACAGCACCUGUGUGAGACCUGUCAUCCACUUUACUCUUAAUUUUGUUGAUCAAACUGGCACAAUCUGUCUCCACAAGGAUUUUCUGGAAACUGGAAUCUUCAGCAAAAAACAACGCAUGGCGCAUUGCAAUAGCUUCACCCAGCUCCGGAUUAUCAACAUGAUGAAUAAACCCUCUGCUUGCUGCCAGCACCAGACCUAGAUGAUUUCGGAUCACAACACCAAUGCCCAUGCGUUUAGUCUGGGCAAAAAUCGCAGCAUCAACAUUGACCUUGACCGACUCAGCCGGCGGCGGAGACCACUUCGGGAUUGACACCUGGUGCUCACGCCUAUUGGAGCCAGUCGACCUGAAAUUGUGCAAUAAGAUGAAAUCGACAUAAGCUCUGGUGUGUGCCGACGGAAUUCACUCUUUUCGUUCUGGUUUUAACUAUGCUUAUGAUUACCUGUCUUGCCGAAAUUCACUUGCCAUACGCAAGUCUUCUGGUGUGUGCCGACGGAAAUUAUAUUUGCGCAAUCAGAUUAGAGUAGAUAAUUUCCUAACCUUGAUUCCUUAUCGAUUGCUUACUAAAAUGUAUGUACAGUUAUUUCAUUCCAUGCUUACAAUCCACAAAGUUAAUUCUUGCGAUUUACUUCCGCUAUCAAAAUAUGUUUGAUUUCCUAUACCCGUAGGUACCAUUGUAUACCUGAAUCCAUGUGAUUUCAUGUCUCUAUGGUUAUAUUGAUUAUCUUGUAAUCUCAUGUCAUCAGUUUUCUCAGGGGUUAUUAGAUUCUUAACGGUGCUAAAACUUUGUUGGUAAUCAUUCUUAAUAUACACUCCAUUUACAGCUUGUGCCUAACCUUUGGAUUUAUCUUCUUUCAAAGUGAUCCUCAUUGGGCUGGUUGAGCUAUCCAACAAGUUUCUAGCUGAGGCAAUUUGAAAAGCUCGAGCUCCCUAAACCAGUCUACUUCGUACGUAGGCUUGAGGAGGGUGGAUAUGUGUCGGUAGUUGAGUUUUACCCCACAAAGGAGCAUUUCUGCAUUUCAGCAGAACGAAUUGCGCUGUCAGAUCCGUAUGUAAGGAUGGGGUGUUAUCGAUGAAUCAGGAUGGGGUGUUAUCGAUCAAUCACGCGGCUGUUCGAGCCCUCAGGUUCAUGGAACGGAGAGAGCACAAGGUGCUUCUUGAUUUCAACUAUGAGCAUCUGCAAGAAGAAAAAAAAAGGCAUAUGCAAGCAUCACAAACAAGCUACUCGAAAAAGGAAAAGAAAUUAAGAAGCACAAGAAGACCAUCAAACAGAUGACUAGGGAAGGGUGCGAGUAUGUGGAUGAAGUGUGUGUUGCACCAAACGAAAUCCAUUAUCAUGCUGGAGCUACCUACUGCUUCUUCAAUGACAGACAUGCUCUUCUGGAGAUUCAUGAUGUCGUGGUUGAACUUCAAAGCAUUACAAGCGCGGCAUGUCUCUCACUGCAGCAGAAAGGUAUAUACCCAUAUGAUCCAAGCUCAGACUCAAGUUGUGGUGUGGAUUUUGUUAAUGAGAUGGGUGAUGGCUACAACUAUGAGUGAUCACCGUAGGCAUAGGCUUACUCUUAGGCAGUCUGGUAUGCAUACUAAACGCAGCUAUGAACACUAUGCGUUGUACUGACUUUGAUGCAUCUCUCUCCAUGUAACUUUGCUUAUCAUAAACUAAUCUCAAGCCUUUCUUUUGGCCUAUGAACCUACCUUUAAUGUAAUAGAUAACGCUAUCAUACAUAAAUAUCUACUUCCUUGCUUCAAAGAUUUAAUGACUGGUCUCUAAAUAUUCUUUUCUUCCAUGGUUCGCUCUCGCCCUUUGCGCCAUUGGCGCAACGGGACGGGCUCCCCUGCAUCCUCCUCCUCGCGGGCGAGGACGACGCCUCCGGAGUGAGCUGAGGGUGGGGGGCGGGUCAAGGCUGCUGUUGGCGGCCUGGAUGCAGGCGAUGGUGGCGGCCGGCGGGGGUCUGGCGGGCGAGGGAAGGAGCAGCAAGACUGGUGAUGGGCCAAGCGCCACCAGAGGAGGGGGAAGGGGCGACUUCGUGCUUCGCAACAACAGUUCGUGUCCAUGAAAAAAUUGUGGUGGUGAUGGUUGAUCUAAGUAUCAGAUUGGUUAUAUGGAAAUGGGGCUUUACUUCCGGAGAUGUUCCCAAUGAAGGAGCUUCGAGGCGAGCACUCCAAUGAUGUAGUUUUGUAUAUGGCAUAAUCUUUAAUGAAGAUGAUCGGGAAAGCUCAAGGACAGCCCCUGGUUGAGGAGGCCGAGGAAAGCCCACAGUCGAGGAGGGGAUGCUCGGCACAGCUAGGGUUUGGGUGGGGGUUGGUUCCAACACCGAUGAUGACAUUGGCCAACAGCGGCACAUCCCUCGAUUUCCAUAACCUCACACCAUGAGUAUGAGGUUGCAUAGGCAGCUGGAGCUUGUCCCCUGCGCCCUUCUCUGGUCGUAGAUAAAACUGUCAUGUUGCUUUAGAUUUAAGUGGCCAGGUCUUGAUAGUAGGCAUGGCUGAACGCGCCUUUUGUUGAAUUUGGACACCAUCUAUAAUAUAGCUAUUUGUUUAGGAGCUUGAACAAGUCUCGGUAUAUGUUAAUUUUGCAGAACUGAAUGUUAGCACAGAAUUGUAUGAGUCUCGGUCCAGUCAAGGUUUCUUUGUCUGCAAUUGAAAAUUAUGUGAGAACUGGGUUUUUCCUCCAAUACCCCAAUUUCAGCAGAUAUUGAAAACCUCGAGAGUUUGGUGCCAUUUGUCACGCUUGUAUACUUAAUGCUAUUCUUUGUGUCUUUAAUAAUGUCUCACCAUUUGUACAACUCAAAAGAGGAUUUCCCAUGAACAUUUUAGCACUACUCUUACCUAUCGAUCAACAAAAGUUAUUCUCUGCAGGUUAAAUUUGUUUAAAGAUGAUGCUAUGCAAAAUGCGUAAGCUGGGGAUGGCAUGACAGUGCAUGGUGAUGCUGUCGGUCAAGAAGUACCAUGCCGCUCUUGCCUUCCCUGCCAAUGCUUCCUCCUACCAUGCUAGCCAUGUGUGCCCUCACCUUUGUUCAUCAAUUCGUGUGCAGUUAUUCAGAGAACACCACAUGUCACAUGAAUUCUAGACUACUUGUCUACAGUUAACUGAACCAGGUCUUGAGUUUGCUUGCUUAAUCGUGUCCCUGUGUAAUUGCUCACCAAGCUCGCCAAUGUGAGUUUGUCCCACAUAAUGGAGUUUCUAUGAAUUUUUGUAGUCCAGAAAUUCUUGGAAAUUCUCUUGUUGCUGUUAUAAUGUGGGUGUGUUCGGCUUCCUUCUUCAUUAAAGUUUGACAAGAGUCGUAAAACCAAUGGAUAAGAGACUGUUUGAUGGUGAAAGCAUUUAUGCUCGUGGUGACUACCUCAAGUGUGCCAGAAUGGCUGCUGUUAAACAAGAGGAGGUAGACACAGCCAAUGAUACCAGCGGUGGCCAAAUUACCCAUGACGAACCACUAUGUCGGAAGCACAAUAAGCGACACGAGUAUAUUCAUCGCCCACGCAAAGCAAGCUUAAUCCAAAAGUUCAAAGGCAAGAAAAUCCAUCUAAAGCCUGGAAAGUCCAUUCUCCGUGGUGAGCCUUGCAAGCACUACUUAGAUGAGUUUAGUCACCACGUUACGUUGUGUGGGGCAACACAGUUAGGCUCUACAACAUAAUGUUCGUGCACUGCGAAAGAUCAUCCGCAGCACCACCACGCCUAAUAACUACUAUGUGUGCCACAUGACAGAAACAUUUGCAACACAAGGCAAAAGAAUGUACUUUAAUGUCCACUUUUCUACGGGUUCCCUUUUCCCACACAUGAAUGCUGACCACGGUGAACUUCCAAUCACAACUGGAGACGGAACAACCACCGUCACGGUCCGCUUUAUCAAGGGAGUUGACAAAAGGGCCACCAUCACUAAAGGCUGGAGCGACUUCUUUCGUCGGACCCACAUGAACGAAGGGCAAGCAUAUGCUUUCGGCUUUAAAUGCACUUCCAAGGGAUUGCGCCUGAUUGUCUACUCAAUAUAAGCAAGCUGCAGGAGCCCCUUGCUAUAUAACAUAGUAUUAGUAUAAAUGCCUACAAAGACAUCUAUGUUUAUCCUCCUUUUUGAUCUUCUGUAAUCCCCUAAGACAGUGUUGUGCAUUUAGCUAUCGAUUAUCCGCUACUUAGACUGCUCUAUCGCAUGCUUUUGAAACAACCAUGAUAAAGGAAAUAUAUGCUCCUUCAAGUGCAUAUCCAAAGGCCUCUGCAUGAUUAUUUAUCCAAUUUGAAAAGAUCACAAGGGUACUUUCCUACAUGACUUGGUGUAUCAUUUUCAAUCUUAUGUACUUACUGCAUAUAGUAUAUGAGCUAUUCAUUUUGAACAACAAUAUGUUAAUGCAUACUCUUACAUCAAUUGGCUUACAUUUGGCCUUUGCGCCAUGGGCGCAACGGGUCAUCUAGUGUUGAAUAAAGCCAAUGCCAUUGCACAUGUUGAUGUCUGCAUUCCUUUUGUCAGCACCUUUUGCCUUGUAACCCUGUACUUAAUUAAUUGCUAUUUGAUUAUGUAUCAUCAGUUUGCAUCUGAGCUUCAUUAUGCUCUGUUUCUUUCAAUAUUAUUUGAUCUAUAUUUACUGUUUACAAAAUGUAGAAUAAUGGCAACGCUUAUAAAGAAUUUCUUUGGGGAAUAUAUUGAAUUAUCCUUCCAUCAACAUGGAGAAGGGCUUUCUCCAGCCCGUGUUAACAUGUAAUAGUCGUAUCUCUUAU